rnacentral:rRNA from 1 species
AACGAACGCUGGCGGCAUGCCUAACACAUGCAAGUCGAACGAGACCUUCGGGUCUAGUGGCGCACGGGUGCGUAACGCGUGGGAACCUGCCCUUAGGUUCGGAAUAACUCCCCGAAAGGGGUGCUAAUACCGGAUAAUGUCUUCGGACCAAAGAUUUAUCGCCUUUGGAUGGGCCCGCGUUGGAUUAGCUAGUUGGUAGGGUAAAAGCCUACCAAGGCGACGAUCCAUAGCUGGUCUGAGAGGAUGAUCAGCCACACUGGGACUGAGACACGGCCCAGACUCCUACGGGAGGCAGCAGUGGGGAAUAUUGCACAAUGGGCGGAAGCCUGAUGCAGCAACGCCGCGUGAGUGAUGAAGGCCUUAGGGUUGUAAAGCUCUUUUACCCGGGAUGAUAAUGACAGUACCGGGAGAAUAAGCUCCGGCUAACUCCGUG